rnacentral:misc_RNA from 1 species
GUACCUUCAAGCUCUGCUUGGUGUUGGGUGUUUGUCCUGCCUCUGCGCACGGACUCGCCUGAAAGCAAUUGGCAGCCGGCACUUUGGCCUGUAGCGCAGCACAUUUUGCGCCGCUGGUUUGAGGUUGUUGGCGUCCAUGAAGCCUAUAUUUUUGC